UACGUAGGGAGCAAGCGUUGUCCGGAAUCAUUGGGCGUAAAGCGCGCGUAGGUGGCCUCAUAAGUCCGUUGUGAAAGUCAAAGGCUCAACCUUUGAAAGCCGAUGGAUACUGUGAGACUAGAGUACGGAAGAGGCGAGUGGAAUUCCUGGUGUAGCGGUGGAAUGCGCAGAUAUCAGGAGGAACACCAAUAGCGAAGGCAGCUCGCUGGGACGUACUGACACUGGAGGCGACGAAAGCGUGGGGAGCGAACAGG
rnacentral:rRNA from 1 species